rnacentral:lncRNA from 1 species
GGUUGAUUUUCAGGUCAUUGCAUUUUCUUGAGAUAUGUUCAUAAAGGACACACACACACAAAUCCCAAUUGAAAGUUUUGGUUUGUGGUGAUCUAAGUCUCUCAGAUUUUAGUAUACAUUAUUUGGAACUCCAAGUGGUUUCAGUGCAAUGAACGUGAAAUAUAUUUUGAUUUACUCUAGACAUAUAUUAUUUAAUGUCUAAUGAAUACAGAUUCAUCUGACCAAAUUCUCACCUCCUGAGAAUUUCUAAUGUUAUAGUUUGCAAAAUAUUCUCAGUACUUCAGCAAACAUAAUUUUAACUGUUAAAGUUCAACAUUACUACAGUUGUUGGCAAUAUUAAAUAAUUUUUGUGUGAUUUCCACUGCACCUUAAAUUUCAGGUCAUAAAGUGUUAUUAAUAUUAUAUGGUUGGAAAUAAUUUCCAGAUCAAUGAAUCAAUGCUAUCUUAAUAUUCUGUCUUUAAUUUUCAUACCACAUGUAUUUUGUGAGUGGUUUUCAUAAGAGGAAGUUGCUUUGUGUUGCCCAGCUCAUUAUCUUGGAUUUUAUCCCUAGUUGAAUUCCCUUUGUGAUCAAAGGGCAGAGAGAACAUCUCCUGAAUUAUUGAACCAUGCUGAUUUGAUGGGUAGGCCACACACAUUAAAGGAAAAAGGAAAAAAGUUUCUCUGCAAAUAUCUACUUGAAGAUAUUUUACCAAAAAGCUGAGAUUUCACUGCAGAAACAACUAAUUCUACUACUUCAUUAAAAGUAAUCUGUUUUUCUAUAUUGGAUCCACAUUGUAUAUAUACAUAUAUACACAUGUGAGUAUUUUGGUAAGUUGCUUCUAUCUGUUCUCUAUGGUUGGUAACAAUCGAUGCUCACACCCACAAAGUACUUAAACAUCUGUAGACUAUUUCCACAAACACUGUAUUAGUUGACUUUUAGAAUUGGAACAAUUUAGAAUAAAUAAUUUAAGAACUCAGAGGCUUAAAGAGAAUGGUAGACUCUGGGCUGCAUAACUCAUUCAUGGCAGAGUAGAUAUUUGAGCCUAGGUCAACCAGUACAAAUCUGACCCCUACCCCGCACACCUAUGUUGGCAUGCUGACAAUUCCAAAUUACUAUUGUACACAUUUUUCUGCCAUUCUUCUCAUUUCAACUUAAUGUAAGUUCAUGGCUUUAUAAUGUGCAUGUUGUGGGGAGAAGCAUUGAUAAGACAAUGAUGAAGGAUUAGCAAGAGUAAACUCACUGAUAAUGGAAAAAGCAAGAAAAUUUUAAUCAUCAUUACAUCAUUAAUACGUUAAUGAUAUUAACACACUUGUUCUUUCUCCUGUCCAUUGAAGAUAAUUCAGGCCUAUUCAGUCAAGUUAGGCACCCCCUCCUACAUCUUUCCCUAUAAGCAGGAUUUUUUAAAAAUUUUUAUUUAUUUGACGGAGAGUGAGCAAGCAAGUAGGGGCAGAUGUAGGCAGAGGGAGAGAGAAGCAGGCUCCCUCCAGAGCAGGGAGCCUCAUGCGGGGCUUGAUCCCAAGACUCAGGGAUCAUGACCUGAGCCAAAAGCUGUCACUUAAGCACCUAAGCCACCCAGGGACCCCUAUAAGCAGGAUUUUACUUCAGAUUUGACACAGAGUAGAAAGAGUAAAUCACAUUAAAGAGGAAUCUGAAGGAAAAAGGCAGGAAAUACAGCCUAGGUGAGAAUGAUACCUCUGCUUUGUUUGGUAUAUUAAUCUAGAGGACAAUGGGAGUGUGGGUUUAGAGUUAUUAAUUUGGGAAUAUUAAAGCCAUGGGUCUCCAUAUGAUCAUCCAAGAAGAAUAUACAGGGAGAAUAAAGAGGCAAAGGAUGGACUUGGAAAUCAUAGUCUCUGUGGAAGACAGGUGCAGAGAAGUCUGUGAAAGGAGACACCACUGCUAUUCUUCACAAAAUUUAUUUUUUAAAUAUUCACAUGAGAAAUUAGAGUUGUUUCUUUUGUUUUUUUUUAAAGAUAAAUAUACAAUCUAUUUAUGCAUCACUGAAGUCAGAUAAAGGAGAACUGCAGAAGACUAUGGUAAUGAAAUAUAACUAACUUUCAAAGAUUUGGUGAAUAUAUUCAUGUUUUAAUCAGUUACACACUGAUAUAAUUUUUUGUUAAAAAUGCAAUAGUAUUUACAAAGUGUCAGUGUGUAAUAAAAGUUGGCAUUUAGUACAUCAAAUUUAUUGUUCUAAUCUUGAAACAAAUAGCAAUAUUCAAAUUCGUUCAAUGUACAUCACUUAUGCUAUAAUUUUCUACAAAAUGAAAAGUAGAGCAAUACAGGUAAGCAUAAUAUGUACUCAUCCAUUUCAACAGGUCAUAUUUUGUUAUUAAUACUAAUAAAAGCACAUUUCUGUAUAUUUAAUCUUUCAAGGCUCUACUCAAAUUUCAAACUUUUGGACUUUACACAUUUAUUAAAUAGGAAUUAUCUUGACUCUCCCAAACUCUUUCAUUUAAACAGAAAAGUUGUUUAGUUUUUAUAAAUACAUAACAUAUAUGUAUAUGUUCUUUAAAAAAAUAUAUAUAUAUGCUCUUGUUAAAAAAAUACAAAUGAAAGGUUUUACCUAAAUUCUGCUUUGUUAACUAUAUAAAUACACAUUUUACACCAAUACAAGAUUUUACUUCAAUUCUGUUUUAUAACCUGAUUUUUCAAUCUCUGUAAAGAUAUGCUAUUUUUUCAUGACCUUAUUCUUCUAUGAUCCUAUUUUCUUUUCUUUUCUUUUUUUUUUAAGAUUUAUUUAUUCAUGAGAGACACAGAGAGGCAGAGAAACAGGCAGAGGGAGAAGCAGGCUCAUGCAGGGACCCUGAUGUGGGAUCCAGACUCCAGGAUCACACCAUGGGCCGAAGGCAGGCACUCAACCGCUGAGCCACCCAGUGAGCCC